GACUGACUCAGGUAGCUCAGUCUUAGAGCUUGGGUCCUCCUGCUAUGCUCCCCUCAUACCUGUGCUAUGCAUUUUGCAAGUGCAUAAUCAGAAAGAGAUGCAACAACAGCAGAGAGAAAGGUACCACUGAGGGGAACUUAAGGGAUUUGCCUACUUGGGAAACAAGGGAUUGAUUUUCUUUUACCAAUUUCAUCAAUUUUCAUUCAUUCACAGGGAAAUGAAUGGAAACCCUAGUUAGCUAAUACUGUAUUUUCAGGUCAUGGCAGUGAUAUUUCAGUGUCCCUGAUAGAUUGGCACAUAUGGCAGCUUCCUGAUUUUGGUUCUGGGCAUGGUUGUAAAAACUAUGUUAGCAUUUUAUAUAUAUAGUAUAUUACAUAAAGUGUAUAUAUAAUGGUAUAUAAGUAAUUAUAAAAGUAAUAUUUAUUGAGUCUUUGCUUUGUUGCAAGCAUGAUGCAAAGUGGACAUAAAGUUUUGUCUGAAGGAUGGUAAGAAAUAUUGUUCAGAGGUGAAAAGUCCACAGAGCAAGUAGGCAAGUGAGUGAAAUGUUCUCUUCUGAAUGAAGAUGAUCAGGGAUGUAUGUUUGUAGUUGACUUGAACCCUGACAUGUAUCAUGCUGACUGAUACAUAUGUCAAAGUUCUCCAAAGAAAUAGAACCAAUGGGAGAUUUUAUAUACAAAUGAUCUGUUUUAAAGAAUUGGUUUCCCCAAUUGUGGGGGCUGGAAAUUUUCAAAUUCGUCGUGCAGGCUGGCAGGCUGGAAACUCAGGCAGGAUUUGAUGUUACAGUCUUGAGGCAGAAUUCCUUCUUUUCUGGGAAAUCCGUUUUCGCUCCUAGGCCUUCAGUUGUUUGGAUGAGGCCCAUCCAUGUUGUUGAGGGGUAACCUUCUUAAAGUCACCUGAUGAGGAUGUUAAUUAGAUCUGCAAAAUACCUUCACAGAAAUAUCUAGAUUGGUGUUUGAUUGAAUAACUGGGUACGACAGACAAGUCAAGCUGACACAUAAAACUAUCACAACAUGAGAUUUGAGAAAAAUCAUAAGAGAAGCCUGGGAUCCUUCUCUCUCCUAUGCUUCCUCCUACCUUGCCUACUCUCAAAAAUUCUCUCAUAAAUAUUGGGAAAUCCAUUCAGUUGGAGUCUUAUCUAGAUUUGUAAUUUUUCUUAUCAUUAGCUGUCUCUCCUCUUUUAUCUCAUUUGUUUCUGAAGAAGUUGUUCUGACAGAAUCCUCUGUCUUGAUUCACUUGAGUGACAUACUUGAUGGGGAUUCUUUUUGAUUGGUUUUUCCAUAGACUUCUGUUUUAUCCAAAUUGUGUUGAGGAAUUCAUUUCAUUUUGAUCUUUUUCUUUUCUGAAGAGAAUAUGAAUGCUGGUCAGACUUGGCUAUAAUGAAUUCAUGGGGGCAAUGCAAAAUGCUUCCUGAUUUGGGAAUUUAACUAAACUUGACCAAAUAAAUGGGUUGUCAGUAAGAACUAUGAAAUAUUGGUAUCCUGACUUGUUGGCAAUAUCUUAUUUUUGUCCUUGCCCUCUCUGUUUACCAGGAAGAGCUAUUAAGGACCUACUUUCUGCUUGGAGGCAGCUCUUUGCUCAGUAAACUGGUAGAUGCUGGCUUAGGGAAAGUCAGAUUGCCCAAGGACUGGGACCACUUGACAUCACAAAGCAGUCAUUUCAUUCAUGGGAACUCUAAUUAUUUGAGGAACAUUCAUUAUGUGGAGCAGCCAUGAUGUAACUUUCAUCCAUUUGUCUGAGUUCUUCCCACCCCAAUAUGAAAUAUAAUGACGUAAUCUUGUUUCUAAAUUAAAGCUCCAUGUAAAGGAGGUCAAGACAAUCUUCACAUCCUAAAUUGCCCCUAUAACACUUUAGUCUCUUCUUCUGUCUACACAUUACUGUUUUCUUGAGAUCUCUUCUUUUGUCAAGGUUUUGAGAUCCUUAUCAGUCUGGUUUGACAUACGGUCAAUUCUACUUGGUUGGUUUUUUGACAGGUGAACCUAAAGGGUUCAGUAGUGUCCUAAGCUGUGAUCUCAGUAAGAUCUACUAAGAUGUGACCUCAUUACUGAAGAUGAGGGGCCACAACUACUAAUUCUAAUUAGAAGGCCCUGCUAGAGAAGACAUCUAAGAUUGUACAUUAUGGUGUAUGGGAACGGCACCCUCUGCAAUUAUGCGGUGCACAACUUUUAUGGCUGUACACAGUGGCACUGCAGCCCAAUAACACAGUAAGAUAAAAUUAGCAUGAAGUGAUCCUAUUCCUUCAGCUGCCCUAGGUCUUUCUGUAUGAAAUGUCUCCUCUUUCCCUUAUUGUUCCUUAUUGUCAGUUUUUGAAAUCCAAGUUAAGAUUUGGAUACUUUUACCUUUGUCCCUACAGUUAUACCCUAAUAUGUGCUCAAUUUAUAUUUAUAUCCACUUUUGGAAAAAAAAAUCUUCUACCUGUCUUUCCCAGUCUCCAGAUCCCUAAGACAGGACCUGGUCACUCAGGAUGGCAUUCAGUACCAUUCUCUGCCAGAAUACCAGAGGCCCUUCUCAUGGUUAGAAUGUCCUGAAGGGUAGAGUACCCCAAAGUCAGUUUGCACUCACCUUUUCUAGACAUGAAUUUCUCACAAAAUUCGUCCAAGCUCUGAGGAUCAUGGAAUAGGAGGUCAUCAUGUGAAGGUGUUGUUAGUAACACACCAGGCAAUCCUUGGCACUUCUGGCCAGAUAGAUAACCUGAAAUCAAGGAGAGAGAAGGAAGCCAGAGAAAGAAAAAUAAUACUGUAGAAGAGUGUUCCAAAACAAUGAUAACUGCCUCUUAUAGGUAUAUAUAAUUUUAUUGACUUACUACUUAAAAAUAUUGAUUAAAUAAACUGAGCCCAUUCUUUGACCCUGCUUUGCUGAUGGACAUGGGGAAUACAGAGACAAGGAGAGUGCCCUACCCUUAGAGUAGUCAUAUGUUAUGUAGGAAGAUGAACAAAAUGUUAGGACAGUACUGUAAAUAAUGACUGGAAUAUGAUAUACCAAGUACUCACAAGAGGAAAAAGUGACAGGGCAUUCCUAGACAUUCAGGGAGGGAACCAUGAAAUGGCAAGUCUCAGGUGUAUCUUGACAGGGGAGAAGGAAUUUUCCUAGCUUCACAACUGGGAAAGAGGUGUGAAGGAGAAAGCAUUUUUUGUGCAUACGAUCUCAUUUGACUCCCAUAGAUGUUAGAGCUGGUAAGGAGAGAAGGGAUAUUUGCCUCUUUAAUUGAUGAAUUAGCUAAGAUUUACAGAAUCUGAGUGACUUUACCAAUAAUACAUGGUUAGUACAUGAGGGGGUCAGGGCCGGAACAGAGAAAUUUGGGCAUUGAAUCCAGAGCUGCUUCAUUACAUGCACAGUGCCUGUACAUAUCAGCAAGACUCUCACAGAGGAAUGUCUAAGACAGUGUUUCUCAAAGAUUAGAAUGGUUUUGCUAAUAUACAAUAUUUUUCAUAUUUGGGUUGCUCUUGGCUUUGCCUCAGGAAUCUAGGCAAAAUAAGGAAAGUGGCAUGGCAAGCUGCUGAUUGGGAAUUUAUGAUCAUUCAUUCAACAGAUACACAGCAGACAAGUAAGCUGCUACUACGUGUCAGACUCAGUCCUUUCCUUCAAGGAACUCACAGUCAAGAAGAGUGGGAGCCUCUUCAAGUUGGCUUCUCAGUCCUGUUUCCAUGAUCUGAGUCGUUGUUGACAUCUUCCUUGCUGUGUGCUAUGACAAGAAGUUCCAGGCUUGUUUCGGAAAAUUCUCAUCCCAGACUAGGAAUGAGCCAUAUCUCCAAGGAGCCCUAACUUCUUUUUGUAGGCAAAGGAAUACAAAACCUCAAAUGUAUACUAGGCAUUCUCGUUGCUACAAUUUUCAUCUGUUUUUAGGCUUUUUUAGUGGUUAUAAUUAAGAAUACACAGUUUUUGAGGAGAAAAUCUUAAUGAGUUCAUAUUAAUGUUUCCAUUUCAAAUUUAAGUCUAUAGGGUUUUAUUUAACUACCUCAAACUUAUAUUUGUAUCACCUUACUUUCAUGCCAGCAGUCCUGGGUCUAGCAAACUUUUUUCCUAAAUUAGCACAAUUUUACUUAUGAACACAGACCUGGAAAUCCUAAAGAAGAUACUGGUUGAUCAAAUCCAAUAGCAUACUAGAAUUUUAUGACUCAUUUAAGAAUGUUUCAACAUCAGAAAAAUCUAUCAAAGUAAUUUACCACAAUUAUGAACUAGAUAACUCUAUGGUGGCAAAACAAUUCAGCACCUCUUUAAAAUUAAGCAACAAUAGUAACAACGACAACAAUGAAAACCUCUCAGAAACUGAGUUUAGAAGAAAAUUUCCUUAACUUGAUAUAUACUACUUGUGAAGAUCUACAGAAAUUAUCCACUUAAUGAAGAAAGUCUAGUUGUAUUUCCUGUUAAAUCUGCAACAAGACAUGGAUGCCUGCUAUAACUGCUGCUGACCAGCAUGGUGCUCAAUGUCCUGGACAAUGAGUUAGAUAAGAAAAAAAUCACAUAAAAACUAGAACGACAGAGACAAUGCUUAUUAUUUUCAGAAGAUGAGAAAAUCUACAGGGAAAACAAAGUAAUUAACUCAUAAAUUAAAAGAAUCCUGGUAAUUAGUUAUUUCUACAAAGUUGUUGAUACAUGAUGAUUGGCACCUCAAUCAAUAGUGUUAUUCAUAGGGAUAAUAAAGCUUAAAAUAUAAUAAAAACCAAAUGAUCUACAUAAACUGCAUAAACAUUUGUAGAGAAAAAUUAAACUUAAGGAUUUAAAAAAUAGUACUGAAUAAAACUGCCAAAUUUUCCUGAGUUAAUCCACAGAUUGUAGGCAAUCCCAAUGAAAAUUUCAAAAGGAUUUGGGGUAAACUUGACAAGCUUUUUAAAAAAUUUCUACAGAACAAUAAAGGAAUGUGAACAGAUAAAACAAUUUGGGAAAGAAAAGCAAAUCAGAGAUCAAUCUUCUUGCCAGAUAUUAAGAAGUGCUUUUAAGUUAUAAUAACAAAAAUUGUGAGCUCCUGGAGCUGAGAAAGACAGACCAAUGGAAUGAAAUAGCAGCUCGAAGCAGACCCAGGUAGUUAUGAAAAUACCUAGACAAGAGUGUUGACUUUACAAAUAUGACAGGCAAGAAGGCAUUAUUUUGUAAGUAAGUUGGGACAAACACUUCAGCAUAUGUAGAAAAAUAAAGUUGGAUUAUACUUCAUGGAAUACAUAAACAUGAACUCCACAUUUAUUAAAGUUUAAAAUGUGAGUCACUUACAGAACCAGCAGGAUAAGAUACCAGAGACUAUCUUCACAAUUUCCUAAUCAGUUAUUAAACACAAAGUAUAACACGAACAUUUGAUGGAUUUUACUACAGCAUAACUAAAAUCCUUGAUUAGCCCUAGACUCCAGAGAGAUGUGACAGAGCAGAAGCAGAAUGGGAAAGCAUAUUUGCUGUGUCUAAAAAGGACAUGCAUUACUAUCUAAAGUGAUAAGGGAGUGUCUCCAGAGAGACAAGAAAGGAAGAAGACUAAAGAAAAAUUGGUAAAAUAUACAAAUAGGUAUUUUAUAGUAAUGUAAGUUUAUAAUACUGUAGAAUUUAGGAUUAAGAGGAAUCUCUGAGGAUGAGGCAACCUGUUCUUAACUCAGAAGGAGAUAACUUGUGGGUCCCCUGAGGACUAAUGUGAUUACAAUCAAGGCUGGCAAAACUUUGGGCCAUGGAAGUUCAAGGGUUUUUAAGACCUUUGAUAAUUAUAUUUCGAGAAUGCCAUUAGUUUUCUUUAUCUUUCCUGGACUUCAUGGAUGAUGAGGACGGUGGAGAUUCUGAGUAAAAGGUAAAACCUUACAAAGUUCUUUAAAAGUGAUACUGUGAAAACAUUGUGUGCCCCUGUUCUUGGACAAGUCAGGUGGGACUCUUCUAGUUGGGAAUACAAAAUCAAGUCAAUUUUUUUCUACUAUUACAGCCAUAGCUCUCCUUCAGCAAGUUAAAGCCUCAGUCUACCCUGAGAUCAAACGACACUGAACCGACUGUGCUUGUAGCCCACUUGUAUUCAAAGAGGCCUGGAGAUUUGGGUUCCUGUCUGCAUCCCAUCUUUAUGGUCCUGCUGAGAUGAUCUAAUUGGCAGACAGGACAAGCUCUGGAAACAUCCUCGGCAAAAUGCUUAAAAUUAUCCACCUAUAUUUCUUUAAUAUCAAGGCCAAUAUGUCUCUAUUCUUAUGGGUAAUCUUAUGAGGCAUUUUUUGUUAAACUUUCCCUGCAUUACGGCUAUCAUCUCGGGUAGUAGCUGAGCAUAUUGAGGUUCUUUAAUUUGCCGUCCAUUUCAUAGUGGUGCCUGUAGAAGUCAAGUAUUCUUUUUUGUUUCUAAAGCAUUUUGAAUAUGUGGACUUGCCCCAAAUCAUAUAUGUCCUGUCAAUAUAAAUAUUCACUCUUUUAGCUUUUGUCAGUUGGCAGGUUUGGCCUAGGGCAAUUAAGCUAGCCAUCUGAACUGAUUUAAUUUCUGUGAGAAACUCAAAUUUCAAGGGUUAAUUGAAGUUUCUGAUCAUAUAGACAGUGUAGCAACUUUUGGUGUUUAAGUUUGUGUUUUUUUUUUUUUUAAUGAACCAUCAACAAGCACAGUUAAAUCGGAUAACCCAAGGAGCCUCUGUCGGGUAGGUCUGUAGGGGCAUGGCUAGUUCCCUAACAGGUGCAGUAAUCAUGGGGUUUUCCUUCUUCAGGUAAAAGGAGAAAGCAGGUUGGGUUUAGAGCCUCAAUGAGAUGGACAGUGAUGUGUGAAGGAUAAAACAAUAUUUCAAAGGUAAUUAGGUCACUAGCUGAAAAGUGUUAAGCACCUUUUGUCAAUAGAAGCUCUUGAGGAAUUUUAUAGAAGAACAUUUUCAGUCACCGAAAAUAUAACUGAAAAAGAAACUGGAAAAUAAUUAGAUGCGAGACUUAACUCUAUUUAACUAAUAUUGAUACUAAAUAAAUUUGGGAUUAGGGUGACGUAAAGGAAUUUAAAUUUUAUAUGUUCUAAUAAUGUAUAAACACUUGUGAAGAAGCCAAAAAUAAACUAAGGUAUAUUAUCAUUCAAAGCAUUUGUAUAUUUUCCAAAGAAGAAACAGAUACCCUUUAAUUUACCUUUACUCAUAAAAUGAAAAUGAAUUAGCCCCAAUAAAUCUGUUCAAUUUUGAAGUAACUUCAGUCUUUACUGAUGAUACCAGCUGAUUAAUUUUAAUUUUUUUCAAUGAUAUAAAGGACAUUGUUAGUUUCAAUUGACAUUUUUCAAGAUAGAAAAAUAGGCAAUGGUUCUAGUAAUUACUACAGACUCAAAAUGUGCUUAACAGUUUUGCCAGUUUACUCUUCCAUUCAACAAAUAUGUUAAAGUACCUACUUUUUGUAAACAUGGAUGUACAGUAGGCCUAUAAAGACACUGGGGACGUAUGGAUGGGCAAGAUGCACAUGGUCGUUUCCUUCACAGAAUAUGUAGUCUGGUUGUGAAGAUAGGCAAUGAAUACGUAAAUUGCAUAAAGUGAGAGUAGCAUCAUGAAAAUAGAAGCAUCAUGUGUCAGGAAAGCAUACAGCAGGGACACAAAAAAAGGAGGAGUGUGGUCAGGGUUGUUUUGCUGGAGGAAGUGUAACCGAAAGUUCGGUCCCUGAACCCAACGCCAAUCCAAAUAACGAGAACAGAGUCUUGAGUGGAAGAGGAAAGGUUUUUACUCUGCCAGGCACAGGGAGCAAAGCAAGGGCUCAUGCCUCAAAAAUUGCUAGCUCCCCGAUGAGGAACGGGUAGGGAUUUUUAUUUGGGGUUUUGGAGAGGGGAGGGGAGGGGGCGCAUGUAGCUUAUGCAGUUUGGCAUUUUCCCACCAGUCUGUGUUUGGCCUUGAGAGGCUGCUUGCAGCGAGGCGGGGGGGGGGGGGGGCGGGGUAUGGUGAGAUAGGAGGAUGGCAGGUGGGCGUCCUUCACCGUUGUCUCGUCUUCCUGUGUGAGGCGGUUUCCAGCGCCUCAGCUCCUUGAUAUUCUUGAGACAGCAGCUUUCCUGGCAAACUUCAAGGACACAUGAUUAGCUGAACUUUAGUGUGCUUCCAACUCCAGGCCACCUGGGCUUUUGACAAUUUGUAGCUCCCAUUUAGUUGUAAAGCUCAAGGAGUCCAAGUUUAAAGAAGCAGGUAUUUACAUAUGAGUGGAGCUAGAGAAGCAGGAAAGGGGGUGGUGGGUUUUAGUUUUAACCCCAUAUAUGCUGGGUUCAACGUGGGGGAACUGAUAUCAGGGCUGAUGUUAAGAGCCUGUAAAGGAAGUGAUAUUUGGACUCAAACCUGGAGGAUGAAUUUAUUUUAAUCAGAUGGGAUGAGAGGGAAGUAGGUUCCAGGCUGAAAUGUGGAAGUAUAUGCCACUCUCAAGAAAUAAACAUGUUCAGUUUGGAUGAAGCAUUAUCUAGAGAGGGAUCAGAGCGGAGCAUGAUAGAAUACCACCAAAUGAUAUCUUGGUAAAGUUACCAAAUGUCAAAAAUAAAGAAUGAACUAAGAUCCAGCCAGGAAAAACAAAUCUCCUGGAGAAGAAAAUAUUGGGCUGGUCUUAGGUUUUCUUAUUGCAAUACCUAGUGCCAAAAACAGUAGAGCAGUGUCUGCAAAACUUUAAAAGGAAGAAAGUGCAGCUGAAAAAUUUUAUUUGUUGCCAUCUUGCGCUUCAAAUAUAAAGGAAAUGAAUAGAAUGACUAAGCAUAAGAACUCAGAACAUUUAGCCUCUAGCCUUUCUUAAAAAACGAAAACAUAAAACAAAUAAACGAAACAAAACUCUUUGAUGAUUAAAUCCAUCCAAUAAGACAAUAAGAAGCGAAUCACAAUUCAAACUUGGUUGUGGUGGCUCCAUGGCAAAAGGACAGGUUCAUUUAAAUAUAGACUCCACACUAAGGAACUGUAAGAACUCUGGUUAAAAGUAAAAAAGUAGGUGUUAUAUACCUUUUAUACUGUAAAAUCAGUAACUUAACCAACAAAAUUUAACUUACAAAAAUGGAUGUGUAAUUAAUAGGAAACAGGCUCCAACUGCUUAAAUGUUUAUUACAAUCUUGUUUCUUAACUUUACUAGGUGUCUUAAGAGUAAUUACUGGUCAUCGUGAUGAACAUCUUCUUUAAAAGUUCAUCAAGUCCUCCAGUUUCACUUGAGUUUAAUAAUGCAUAUGUACAGUACAUUUUUUAGUUGUAGUAUAAUUCUAUUUUUGUGACAUUCUAUCUAUUCUCACCACUGUCUUCAAAUUUAGUCUUUGACUUCAUCUAAGAAUUUCUUUCUUUUGUUUCUGCAUUAAGUGAAUCAAUUUAUUCCUCAUACAUUCGUUGUUCAACAGUGAGUUUCUCCACCACAUGCUAAACUUACAGAAAACUUUUAUAUAGUUAAAGUAAUACAUAUCCAUAAAUCAACAAACUUACAAAUAUAUCUUUUUUCCAGUAAUUUUAUUGAGAUCAUAAUGGUUUAUAAUAUGUGUAAUUUCAAGUGGACAUUAUUGUUUAUCAAUUUCUGAAUUGACUUCAUUGUGCUCACUACCAGUAGUCUAAUUUUUGCCCAUCACUGUACAUAUGUGCUCCUUUACCCCUUUCGCCCACCCCUCAAUCCCCUUCCUCUCUGGUAACAAAUAAUCUGUUCUCUUUGUCCAUGUAUGUGUUGUCUUCCACAUAUGAAUGAAAUCAUGCAGAUUCAUCUUUCUCAGUCUGGCUUAUUUCACUUAACAUUAUACCCUCAAGGUCCACGCAUGUUGUUGCAAAUGGGCUGAUUUUGUCUUUUUUUAAUGGCUGAGUAGUAUUCCAUUGUAUAUAUAUAUAUAUAUAUACACCCCACAUCUUUAUCUGUUCAUCUGUAGAAGGACACUUGGGUUGCUUCCACAUGUUGCCUAUUGUGAAUAAUGCUGCAGUGAACAUAUGGGUGCAUAAAUCUCUUUGGAUUGUUGAUUUCAAGUUCUUUGGAUAAAUACCCAGUAGAGGGAUAGCUGGAAUGUAUUGUAUUUCUACUUUUAAUUUUUUGAGAAAUCUCCAUACUGUUUUCCACAGUGGUUGCACCAGUUUGCAUUCUUACCAUCAGUGCAUGAGAGUUCCCUUUCUCCAUAUGCUCUCCAACAUUUGUUGGUUUUCAUCUUGGUAAUUAUAGC
rnacentral:lncRNA from 1 species